AUUGAACGCUGGCGGCAUGCCUUACACAUGCAAGUCGAACGGUAACGCGGGGCAACCUGGCGACGAGUGGCGAAAGGGGGAGGAAUGCAUCGGAACGUGCCCCGUCGUGGGGGGUAGCCCGGCGAAAGCCUGAUUAAUACCGCAUACGACCUACGGGUGAAAGGGGGGGAUCGGAAGACCUCCCGCUAUUGGAACGGCCGAUGUCAGAUUAGGUAGUUGGUGGGGUAAAAGCCUACCAAGGCGACGAUCUGUAGCUGGUCUGAGAGGACGAUCAGCCACACUGGGACUGAGACACGGCCCAGACUCCUACGGGAGGCAGCAGUGGGGAAUUUUGGACAAUGGGGGAAACCCUGAUCCAGCCAUGCCGCGUGCGGGAAGAAGGCCUUCGGGUUGUAAACCGCUUUUGUCAGGGAAGAAACGCUCUGGGCUAAUACCUUGGAGUAAUGACGGUACCUGAAGAAUAAGCACCGGCUAACUACGUGCCAGCCGCCGCCGUAA
rnacentral:rRNA from 1 species